rnacentral:misc_RNA from 1 species
GAUGAAGAACGUAGCGAAAUGCGAUACUUGGUGUGAAUUGCAGAAUCCCGUGAACCAUCGAGUCUUUGAACGCAAGUUGCGCCUCAAGCCAUUAGGUUGAGGGCACGUCUGCCUGGGCGUCACAUAUCGUUGCCUGAUGCCAGGUUCCUCGUGAUGGGUGACUGUGCAGGGCGAAUGAUGGCUUCCCGUGAGCAUUGUUGCCUCAUGGUUGGUUGAAAAUUGAGUCCUUGGUAGGGAGCGCCGUGAUAGAUGGUGGUUGAGUGACGAACGAGACCCAAUCAUGUGAGACCCCUACCGAAUUUGGCCUUCAUGACCCACAUGCGUCUUUGGAACGCUCAUGACGAGACCUCAGGUCAGGCGGGGCUACCCGCUGAGUUUAAGCAUAUCAAUAAGCGGAGGA